GGAGGACCGCUCGCUGGCGGCUGAUCCGGCGUCUCCGUGACAGGCAACCCAGCUCCUCCGCCACCGCCCCACCGCCACCGCCACCGCCACCGUCGCCUUUUCUUCUUAGUCCCAGGCCGUGCGUUCCACUGCUCUGGGGCGGGCGCCGCGCCCAGUCCCUGCUUCGGCCGCGCGCCCCACCGCUUCCCUCCCCGGCAGGGGAAGCCGCGCAGCCGCUCCCGCCGCCACCUCCUCCCCCGCCGCCCUUCCUCGCUGCAGGAAUUGCGCGGACCAACAGCCGCUCGCGUCGCCCGCAUCCGCGCAGCCCGCUGCCGCUCGGCCCUCGGCACCGCUCUGGGUCCGGCCGCUGCCUGCCCCGCGCUCCCAGGCCCCACCACGCGUCGCCGCGCCCAGCUCCAGCCUCCCCUCCCCCGGGUCUCGCCAGCCCCUUCCUGCAGCCGCCGCCGCCUCCGAAGGAGCGGGUCCGCUGCAGGUCACCAUGCCCAGCAAAACCAAGUACAACCUUGUGGACGAUGGGCACGAUCUGCGGAUCCCCUUGCACAACGAGGACGCCUUCCAGCACGGCAUCUGCUUUGAGGCCAAGUACGUAGGAAGCCUGGACGUGCCAAGGCCCAACAGCAGGGUGGAGAUCGUGGCUGCCAUGCGCCGGAUCCGGGCUCCGGGAAUGUCAGUGCAUUUUCUUCUGCCAUUUUGUCUACUUGCGGAAAGUUCAGUAUACCUUCUCGUUGGUAUAUGUGGUUCAGUCUAUGAACUUGUUGCUUUCUGA
rnacentral:lncRNA from 1 species